AAAUUAAUGCAUAUGAGCAUUAAAAGUUAGGGAACAUCUGACAGUGAUAAUAGAUUUUGGCUUUAAAAUAUUUGAACUGAUGUUUUCGUUUCUGCUAUUCUCAAUUGUCUAAGCUGUGUCUCCUGACAACAAAACCAAGAACAGAGGUUUUUUUUUAUCAGUGCCAUGGAAGUCAACCAGAGGUGGUGUGCAAUCAUUGGGCUACCACCAGAAAAGAGAAAGCUACAUGUCAACAAAGGUGAAAGAUUCUGUUCUUAACUGGAUGCCCAUGUGUUGGAAGAGUUCAUGAAACGGUUAAAUCAGAAAAGGCUUUCUGGAGAAGAUUUUGUGACCAGUAACUGGCAAAGUUGGGAUUUGAACCCAGUGUGUAGCAUUGGAAACUGAGUGGAGAGACAGAGGUCCUAAAUUUGUAUUGAUCCCACCGUGUAUUCUGUGUCUCAGAGACUGUUGGAGCCCCAAUCCAGAGCCCCAGGGUUUUGCUCCAAAAGAUCACACUACUUAUCUAUGGAAGACUCUUCAUUUUCUUUUUAGGUAAGGUCUUUCUUCUUGUUAAAUCCCAAAAUAAACAUUCAUCAUCUUAACAGUGAAUGAAUAAUGAACGAAAUACUUCUAUGUUAAACUUGACUUCUUCAUUUCUUCCUCCCCAGCCCACUGGAACAAAAUGUCUGAGUUG
rnacentral:lncRNA from 1 species